rnacentral:rRNA from 1 species
AAUGAACGCUGGCGGCAGGCCUAACACAUGCAAGUCGAACGAGUGGCGGACGGGUGAGCAAGGGCGUGGAAACUGCCUGAUGGAGGGGGAUAACUACUGGAAACGGUAGAUAAUACCGCAAACCAUCGGUUGUGCCCAGACGGGAUUAGGGAGUCGGUGGGGUAACGGCUCACCUAGGCGACGAUGCGCACCUGGCCUGAGAGGAUGACCAGCCACACGGGAACUGCGACACGGUCCAGACUCCUACGUGAGGCAGCAGUGGGGAGUAUUUCACAAUGGGCGCAAGUAUGAUAGAGCCAGGCCGCGUGAGUGAAGAAGGCUUUCGGAUUGUAAAGUACUUUCGGCGGUGACGCGUUACCCGCUGAAAAAGCACCGGCUAACUCCGUGCCAGCAGCCGCGGUAAUAC